UGGGGAAUAUUGCACAAUGGGCGCAAGCCUGAUGCAGCGACGCCGCGUGAGGGAUGACGGCCUUCGGGUUGUAAACCUCUUUCGCCAGGGACGAAGCGCAAGUGACGGUACCUGGUAAAGAAGCACCGGCCAACUAGGUGCCAGCAGCCGCGGUAAUACGUAGGGUGCGAGCGUUGUCCGGAAUUACUGGGCGUAAAGAGCUCGUAGGCGGUUUGUCAGGUCGGCUGUGAAAUCCUGCAACUCAAUUGUAGGCGUGCAGGCGAUACGGGCAGACUUGAGUACUACAGGGGAGACUGGAAUUCCUGGUGUAGCGGUGAAAUGCGCAGAUAUCAGGAGGAACACCGGUGGCGAAGGCGGGUCUCUGGGUAGUAACUGACGCUGAGGAGCGAAAGCGUGGGGAGCAAACA
rnacentral:rRNA from 1 species